CCUACGGGAGGCAGCAGUGGGGAAUAUUGCACAAUGGGGGAAACCCUGAUGCAGCGACGCCGCGUGAGUGAAGAAGUAUUUCGGUAUGUAAAGCUCUAUCAGCAGGGAAGAAAGAGCGACCUUUGGGUCGCCAGACGGUACCUGAUGAAGAAGCCCCGGCGAACGACGUGCCAGCAGCCGCGGGAAUACGUAGGGGGCAAGCGUUAUCCGGAUUUACUGGGUGUAAAGGGAGCGUAGACGGCAGCGCAAGUCUGAAGGGAAAUGCCGGGGCUUAACCCCGGAACUGCUUUGGAAACUGUGCAGCUAGAUUGCAGGAGAGGUAAGUGGCAUUCCUAGUGUAGCGGUGAAAUGCGUAGAUAUUAGGAGGACCCCCAGUGGCGAAGGCGGCUUACUGGACUGUAACUGACGUUGAGGCUCGAAAGCGUGGGGAGCAAACAGGAUUAGAUACCCGUGUAGUC
rnacentral:rRNA from 1 species